rnacentral:rRNA from 1 species
CAAUAAAAGGGACGCAGGUACGUGGUGGCUGCGGGGUGACGGAAGUCCCCGCUGAGCCUAGCCUUCGGGCGAAGCGAAGUCAUAAAAUCCCUGCCAAGAAAAGCGAGCAUAUGCAGCCCGUACCGUAAACCGACACAGGUAGUCGAGUCGAGUAGACUCAGGCGCUCGAGUGGAUCAUGGCUAAGGAACUCGGCAAAUUAGCCCCGUAACUUCGGGAGAAGGGGCGCUCCGUGCAAACGGAGCCGCAGUGAAGAGGUCCAGGCGACUGUUUAACAAAAACACAGGACUCUGCCAAAUCGAAAGAUGAAGUAUAGGGUCUGACACCUGCCCGGUGCCGGAAGGUUAAGGAAGGGGGUUAGUGGCGCAAGCUGCGAAGCUCUUGACUGAAGCCCCGGUAAACGGCGGCCGUAACGAUAACGGUCCUAAGGUAGCGAAAUUCCUUGUCGGGUAAGUUCCGACCUGCACGAAUGGUGUAACGAUCUGGACGCUGUCUCAGCCAUGAGCUCGGUGAAAUUGCAGUAUCGGUGAAGAUGCCGAUUACCCGCAACGGGACGGAAAGACCCUGUGAACCUUUACUAUAACUUCACAUUGUGCUUGAGCAUAAGAUGUGUAGGAUAGGUGGGAGGCUGUGAAGUGGGGACGCUAGUCCUUGUGGAGCCGACGUUGAAAUACCACCCAUCUUAUGCUUAGGUUCUAACCCCGAUUUAUCGGGGGACCGUGUGUGGUGGGUAGUUUGACUGGGGUGGUCGCCUCCUAAAAAGUAACGGAGGCUCGCAAAGGUACCCUCCGCAUGGUUGGUAAUCAUGCUUAGAGCGUAUAAGUACAAGGGUGCUUGACUGUAAGAACGACGGUUCGAACAGGUGCGAAAGCAGGCUUAAGUGAUCCGGUAGUUCUGCAUGGAAGGGCUAUCGCUCAAAGGAUAAAAGGUACUCCGGGGAUAACAGGCUGAUCUCCCCCAAGAGCUCACAUCGACGGGGAGGUUUGGCACCUCGAUGUCGGCUCGUCGCAUCCUGGGGCUGGAGAAGGUCCCAAGGGUUGGGCUGUUCGCCCAUUAAAGCGGCACGCGAGCUGGGUUCAGAACGUCGCAAGACAGUUCGGUCCCUAUCUGUUGUGGGCGUAGGAAUAUUGAAGGGAGCUAACUUUAGUACGAGGACCGGGUUGGACGUACCGCUAGUGUACCAGUUGUGUCGCCAGAUGCAGUGCUGGGUAGCUAUGUACGGCAUGGAUAAGCGCUGAAAGCAUCUAAGCGCGAAGCCAUCCCUAAGAUGAGUAUUCCAUUGAGGGUCGUGGAAGAUGACCACGUUGAUAGGCGACAGGUAUAAGUGCAGUGAUGCAUUGAGCCGAGUC